GGCUCAGGACGAACGCUGGCGGCGUGCCUAAUACAUGCAAGUCGAGCGGACUUAUUCUUCGGGAUAAGUUAGCGGCGGACGGGUGAGUAACACGUAGGUAACCUACCUAUAAGACUGGGAUAACUAUCGGAAACGAUAGCUAAGACCGGAUAACUGGUUUUCUCGCAUGAGAGAAUCAUGAAACACGGAGCAAUCUGUGGCUUAUAGAUGGGCCUGCGGCGCAUUAGCUAGUUGGUAGGGUAACGGCCUACCAAGGCGACGAUGCGUAGCCGACCUGAGAGGGUGAACGGCCACACUGGGACUGAGACACGGCCCAGACUCCUACGGGAGGCAGCAGUAGGGAAUCUUCCGCAAUGGACGCAAGUCUGACGGAGCAACGCCGCGUGAGUGAUGAAGGUUUUCGGAUCGUAAAGCUCUGUUGCCCUAGACGAACAGCAUGAGGAGUAACUGCCUUGUGUGUGACGGUAUAGGAGAAGAAAGNCNCGGCUAACUACGUGCCAGCAGCCGCGGUAAUACGUAGGGGGCAAGCGUUGUCCGGAAUUAUUGGGCGUAAAGCGCGCGCAGGCGGUCAAUUAAGUUGGGUGUUUAAGCCCGGGGCUU
rnacentral:rRNA from 1 species